UUUAGUGCUUUCAGCAAUAAAACACAUAGCCUGGGAAAAUGCUGACAAACUUCUGGCAAAUUUGAGAUUUGCUCUGCAAGUCAGACUGGCCAAGAGCCCGUUCGAGCCCAUUUCCAAUGUUUCCAAAUGAGGCGGGCUCUACACCAAUCACAACCGUUGAGGCGAGCUCUACACCAAUCACAACCGUU